rnacentral:rRNA from 1 species
UGGGGAAUAUUGCACAAUGGGCGGAAGCCUGAUGCAGCGACGCCGCGUGGGGGAUGACGGCCUUCGGGUUGUAAACCUCUUUCAGUGCAGAACAAGGCUCUUUGUGGGUUGAGGGUAUGCGCAGAAGAAGCGCCGGCCAACUACGUGCCAGCAGCCGCGGUAAUACGUAGGGCGCGAGCGUUGUCCGGAUUUAUUGGGCGUAAAGAGCUCGUAGGCGGUUUGUCGCGUCUGCUGUGAAAUCCUCUGGCUAAACUGGGGGCUUGCAGUGGGUACGGGCAGGCUGGAGUGCGGUAGGGGAGACGGGAAUUCCUGGUGUGGCGGUGGAAUGCGCAGAUAUCAGGAGGAACACCGGUGGCGAAGGCGGGUCUCUGGGCCGUUACUGACGCUGGGGAGCGAAAG